rnacentral:rRNA from 1 species
GAUGAACGCUGGCGGCGUGCCUAAUACAUGCAAGUCGAGCGAACGGACGAGAAGCUUGCUUCUCUGAUGUUAGCGGCGGACGGGUGAGUAACACGUGGAUAACCUACCUAUACGACUGGGAUAACUUCGGGAAACCGGAGCUAAUACCGGAUAAUAUUUUGAACCGCAUGGUUCAAAAGUGAAAGACGGUCUUGCUGUCACUUAUAGAUGGAUCCGCGCUGCAUUAGCUAGUUGGUAAGGUAACGGCUUACCAAGGCAACGAUGCAUAGCCGACCUGAGAGGGUGAUCGGCCACACUGGAACUGAGACACGGUCCAGACUCCUACGGGAGGCAGCAGUAGGGAAUCUUCCGCAAUGGGCGAAAGCCUGACGGAGCAACGCCGCGUGAGUGAUGAAGGUCUUCGGAUCGUAAAGCUCUGUUAUUAGGGAAGAACAUAUGUGUAAGUAACUGUGCACAUCUUGACGGUACCUAAUCAGAAAGCCACGGCUAACUACGUG